rnacentral:rRNA from 1 species
GGUACUUGUACCGACUGGAUGAGCAGCGAACGGGUGAGUAACGCGUGGGGAAUCUGCCUUUGAGCGGGGGACAACAUUUGGAAACGAAUGCUAAUACCGCAUAAAAACUUUAAACACAAGUUUUAAGUUUGAAAGAUGCAAUUGCAUCACUCAAAGAUGAUCCCGCGUUGUAUUAGCUAGUUGGUGAGGUAAAGGCUCACCAAGGCGAUGAUACAUAGCCGACCUGAGAGGGUGAUCGGCCACAUUGGGACUGAGACACGGCCCAAACUCCUACGGGAGGCAGCAGUAGGGAAUCUUCGGCAAUGGACGAAAGUCUGACCGAGCAACGCCGCGUGAGUGAAGAAGGUUUUCGGAUCGUAAAACUCUGUUGGUAGAGAAGAACGUUGGUGAGAGUGGAAAGCUCAUCAAGUGACGGUAACUACCCAGAAAGGGACGGCUAACUACGUGCCAGCAGCCGCGGUAAUACGUAGGUCCCGAGCGUUGUCCGGAUUUAUUGGGCGUAAAGCGAGCGCAGGUGGUUUAUUAAGUCUGGUGUAAAAGGCAGUGGCUCAACCAUUGUAUGCAUUGGAAACUGGUAGACUUGAGUGCAGGAGAGGAGAGUGGAAUUCCAUGUGUAGCGGUGAAAAUGCGUAGAUAUAUGGAGGAACACCGGUGGCGAAAGCGGCUCUCUGGCCUGUAACUGACACUGAGGCUCGAAAGCGUGGGGAGCAAACAGGAUUAGAUACCCUGGGUAGUCCACGCCGUAAACGAUGAGUGCUAGAUGUAGGGAGCUAUAAGUUCUCUGUAUCGCAGCUAACGCAAUAAGCACUCCGCCUGGGGAGUACGACCGCAAGGUUGAAACUCAAGGAAUUGACGGGGCCCGCACAAGCGGUGGAGCAUGGUGGUUUAAUUCGAAGCAACGCGAG